AUUGAACGCUGGCGGCAGGCUUAACACAUGCAAGUCGAACGAGUGGCGGACGGGUGAGUAAUGCCUGGGAAUCUAGCUUAUGGAGGGGGAUAACUACGGGAAACUGUAGCUAAUACCGCGUACCAUAGGAUGAGCCCAAAUGGGAUUAGGUAGUUGGUGGGGUAAAGGCUCACCAAGCCGACGAUCCCUAGCUGGUCUGAGAGGAUGACCAGCCACACUGGAACUGAGACACGGUCCAGACUCCUACGGGAGGCAGCAGUGGGGAAUAUUGCGCAAUGGGCGCAACCCUGAUGCAGCCAUGCCGCGUGUAUGAAGAAGGCCUUCGGGUUGUAAAGUUCUUUCGGUGGCGAGGCGUUAACGACAGAAGAAGCACCGGCUAACUCCGUGCCAGCAGCCGCGGUAAUAC
rnacentral:rRNA from 1 species